rnacentral:rRNA from 1 species
CUACGGGGGGCUGCAGUGGGGAAUAUUGCACAAUGGGCGCAAGCCUGAUGCAGCCAUGCCGCGUGUAUGAAGAAGGCCUUCGGGUUGUAAAGUACUUUCAGCGGGGAGGAAGGGAGUAAAGUUAAUACCUUUGCUCAUUGACGUUACCCGCAGAAGAAGCACCGGCUAACUCCGUGCCAGCAGCCGCGGUAAUACGGAGGGUGUAAGCGUUAAUCGGAAUUACUGGGCGUAAAGCGCACGCAGGCGGUUUGUUAAGUCAGAUGUGAAAUCCCCGGGCUCAACCUGGGAACUGCAUCUGAUACUGGCAAGCUUGAGCCUCGUAGAGGGGGGUAGAAUUCCAGGUGUAGCGGUGAAAUGCGUAGAGAUCUGGAGGAAUACCGGUGGCGAAGGCGGCCCCCUGGACGAAGACUGACGCUCAGGUGCGAAAGCGUGGGGAGCAAACAGGAUUAGAUACCCGGGUAGUC